GGCGUCUGUGGUGUAGUUAAUAAACCGUUGCUGAUUGUAGUAAGAGAAGAAGAAGAAGAGCAGCGGAGAGAAGAAGAAGAGCAGCAGAGAGAAGAAGAGCAGCGGAGAGAAGAAGAGCAGCGGAGAGAAGAGCAGCGGAGAGAAGAAGAAGAGCAGUGGAGAGAAGAGCAGCGGAGAGAAGAGUUCAUUGGAAAAAGAGCAGCCGAGAGAAGAAGAGCGGCGGAGAGAAGAGCAGCGGAGAAAAGAGCAGCGGAGAGAAGAAGAAGAGCAGCGGAGAGAAGAAGAGCAGCGGAGAGAAGAAGAAGAGCAGCGGAGAGAAGAAGAGCAGCGGAGAGAAGAAGAGCGGAGAGAAGAGCAGCGGAGAGAAGAGUAGCGGAGAGAAGAAGAGCGGAGAGAAGAGCCGUGGAGAGAAGAAGAGCAGCGGAGAGAAGAGCAGCAGAGAGAAGAAGAGCAGCGGAGAGAAGAAGAAGAAGAGCAGUGGAGAGAAGAAGAAGAGCAGCGGAGAGAAGAAGAAGAAGAGCAGCGGAGAGAAGAGCAGCGGAGAGAAGAAGAGCAGCGGAGAGAAGAGCAGCGGAGAGAAGAAGAGCAGCGGAGAGAAGAAGAGCAGCGGAGAGAAGAGCAGCGGAGAGAAGAAGAGCGGCAGAGAGAAGAGCAGCAGAGAGAAGAGCAGCGGAGAGAAGAAGAAGAAGAGCAGCGAAGAGAAGAAGAAGAAGAGCAGCGGAGAGAAGAAGAGCGGAGAGAAGAAGAGCAGCGGAGAGAAGAGCAGCGGAGAGAAGAAGAGCAGCGGAGAGAAGAAGAAGAAGAGCAGCGGAGAGAAGAAGAAGAAGAGCAGCGGAGAGAAGAGCAGCGGAGAGAAGAAGAAGAGCAGCAGAGAGAAGAAGAAGAAGAGCAGCGGAGAGAAGAAGAAGAAGAGCAGCGGAGAGAAGAAGAGCAGUUGAGAGAAGAAGAGCAGCGGAGAGAAGAAGAGCAGCGGAGAGAAGAGCAGCGGAGAGAAGAAGAAGAAGAGCAGCGGAGAGAAGAAGAGCAGCGGAGAGAAGAAGCGCAGCGGAGAGAAGAAGAAGAGCAGCGGAGAGAAGAAGAAGAGCAGCGGAGAGAAGAGCAGCGGAGAGAAGAAGAAGAAGAGCAGCGGAGAAAAGAGCAGCGGAGAGAAGAAGAGCAGCGGAGAGAAGAAGAGCAGCGGAGAGAAGAAGAGCAGCAGAGAGAAGAGCAGCGGAGAGAAGAAGAAGAAGAGCAGCGGAGAGAAGAAGAGCAGCGGAGAGAAGAGCAGCGGAGAGAAGAAGAAGAGCAGCGGAGAGAAGAAGAGCAGCGGAGAGAAGAGCAGCGGAGAGAAGAAGAGCAGUGGAGAGAAGAGCAGCGGAGAGAAGAGUUCAUUGGAAAAAGAGCAGCGGAGAGAAGAGCAGCGGAGAGAAGAAGAAGAGCAGCGGAGAGAAGAAGAGCAGCGGAGAGAAGAAGAGCGGAGAGAAGAAGAGCAGCGGAGAGAAGAGCAGCGGAGAGAAGAAGAAGAGCAGCGGAGAGAAGAAGAGCAGCGGAGAGAAGAGCAGCGGAGAGAAGAAGAGCGGCAGAGAGAAGAGCAGCAGAGAGAAGAGUAGCGGAGAGAAGAGUUUAUUGGAAAAAGAGCAGCGGAUAGAAGAAGAGCAGCGGAGAGAAGAAGAGCAGCGGAGAGAAGAAGAAGAGCGGCGGAGAGAAGAGCAGCGGAGAAAAGAGCAGCGGAGAGAAGAAGAAGAGCAGCGGAGAGAAGAAGAGCAGCGGAGAGAAGAAGAGCGGAGAGAAGAGCAGCGGAGAGAAGAGUAG
rnacentral:lncRNA from 1 species